GAAAUGCGAUAAGUAGUGUGAAUUGCAGAAUUCAGUGAAUCAUCGAAUCUUUGAACGCACAUUGCGCCCUUUGGUAUUCCAAAGGGCAUGCCUGUUCGGGCGUCAUUUGUACCCUCAAGCUUUGCUUGGUGUUGGGCGUCUUGUCUCUAGCUUUGCUGGAGACUCGCCUUAAAGUAAUUGGCAGCCGGCCUACUGGUUUCGGAGCGCAGCACAAGUCGCACUCUCUAUCAGCAAAGGUCUAGCAUCCAUUAAGCCUUUUUUUCAACUUUUGACCUCGGAUCAGGUAGGGAUACCCGCUGAACUUAAGC
rnacentral:misc_RNA from 1 species